UCCGGGGACGCGCCUCGGGGACCUGAGUCCAGCUGGGCGGAAGUUGUUCCCGUGCGUGCGCUUGGAACCUGGGCGAGAAUUAAGUUUGUGCUGUGGUCCUGCGUUUCCACGGUGUUUGCAUCCAUGUUUAGUAGGACCAGGGCUUUUUUUGUGGAAAUCGAUUUUGCUGGACGUAACCCCGUGUUGGGACUCCCUAGGGAAAUGGAGACGCCACGUGGUUAAGGACUUUGGGCUCCGCCGCCCACGUUGUGUGAGUGGCUGAAACACCGCAAGCGGUCUCCUGCCUUCCAGCCACAGCCGCACACUUUCCUACCUCUGCCGCACUUUCCCAACCUGACUUCCGAAUUUCUUGCUAUUUCAGCCGUCGGUAGCAGCAGCCAAUCAACGCCACCACUCUAGUCAGACAAUCUAAGGCGAAUUGAGUUGGAAAUCCAUCUGGUCCAUUCCCACUCCCACUUUACAGUUGGAGAUUUGUUCGGAUGUGAACAAGAAACUGACGAUUUUUGAAUGAUCCAAUCUGGCCAGCAGCAGGCGACUGCAGCCAAUUUCCUCCAGGAGAAACACCAGGUGACGUAGAAAGCUGCACCCAGCUGAGCUGAGCUGACCUCAGGCAUCUACCAGCUACCUCAGGUCUCCGCUUAUGGACCACAUCAACCCACAUCUGCUGUUACAACUUGCCUCCAAUUUCAGAGAAGCCUCCUGCGACUCCAAAUCACUCACCAGCUGCAACUCUUCCCACGCCACCUCCACAAACGUCUGGGAGUUUUCAAGGUCAAGUGCCUUAUUUAUUAUAGUAUUUAUAUGCUUCUUGACCAUAUAUGUAAUAUAUAUAAAACUGCAUUACUGUUUUUAUUAGGUUGCUAUCUUAAUCACUGAGGAAGUUUUUUCAUCUCAUUUUUGCCAUAAGUCCUGUGGUUUUUAUUGCAUGACUUCAUAUAGUGCAGAGGUCUUUAAGACCACAUUAUAGCAGAACUGGUUGUAUUUCUUGCAAAUUGGCAGUAAUCAGACUCGUUUCUCUCCCUUUGGUAACAUGUUCUUUCAACAGAAGGCUCUUAAUAUCUGGUUGUCUCUGUUUUGAGCAGUUAGCAGAUACCGAUGCAGCAAAUGUCUGGAUCCAUUAUUUCACUGGGGGCAGCAUAAUGGUGAUAUUCUAAUUCUGUUUUUUCCUUUUCAUUAUUAAUUGGAAUACUUUUAUAAUGAGAUGUUUCCCCUUAUCUACAAGUUGGUACAGUUGAUAUAGGAAAGGCAAGAUAAAUGCUUGAUUCUUUCCCUAUAUUUAUCAGUUUUCAAGAUGAUUAAUUUGUUUCCUAUCAUUUCCCCAAAUGUAAGCAAUUAGGCUUUAUUUUAUAAUGUAAUAUCAUAAACUCAUGGAUUUAAAAUAUUUGUUGGGUUUCAGUCAUCUGCAAUUACUACUCAAAUUACUCUAUCUUUGGCUGGUGAGAGCCUCUUAAAAUUGGCUCCUGAGGCCUUUGACAUGACCCUAGUAUAUCUUUUAUAGGGCUCUUGGCUGGCUGAUGAUAGCAUGACUACAUAUGGGGUUCCAGGCUCAUUUUGUAAUUUUCUGUCCUAGAACUGAAAUCUGCCGUUUUUCCCAAAAGCCUUGUUUCUUUAAGUGAGAAACGACAUUUCAAAACAACAAUCUAAAGCUAGGGAUGUAUAUCACUACUGGGUUGGUUGUUGUUUGUAGAGCAAUUCAGUGGAUGAAGCUAUAUAUAUAUAUAAAUAUGAUAUUUCUUGAGUUUAAAGUAUUUCGAAUUCAGGGCUAUGGGAUAUUGUACUUAUUAGCCUCUAUCAUAUUUCAUGUGUAUCUCCUUUAUUCCACAUUAAAAAUCAUGAUUCUUGGGGGCCGGCCUGGUGGCACAGCGGUCAAGUGCGCACGUUCCACUUCGGCAGCCCAAGGACUGCUUGUUUGGAUCCCAGGUGCGGACAUGGCACCGCUUGGCA